AUGAACGCUAGCUACAGGCUUAACACAUGCAAGUCGAGGGGAAACGACAUCGAAAGCUUGCCUUUGAUGGGCGUCGACCGGCGCACGGGUGAGUAACGCGUAUCCAACCUGCCCACCACUUGGGGAUAACCUUGCGAAAGUAAGACUAAUACCCAAUGACGUCUCUAGAAGACAUCUGAAAGAGAUUAAAGAUUUAUCGGUGAUGGAUGGGGAUGCGUCUGAUUAGCUUGUUGGCGGGGUAACGGCCAACCAAGGCGACGAUCAGUAGGGGUUCUGAGAGGAAGGUCCCCCACAUUGGAACUGAGACACGGUCCAAACUCCUACGGGAGGCAGCAGUGAGGAAUAUUGGUCAAUGGACGAGAGUCUGAACCAGCCAAGUAGCGUGCAGGAUGACGGCCCUAUGGGUUGUAAACUGCUUUUAUAAGGGAAUAAAGUGAGUCUCGUGAGACUUUUUGCAUGUACCUUAUGAAUAAGGACCGGCUAAUUCCGUG
rnacentral:rRNA from 1 species